AAAUUACCCAAUCCUAAUACAGGGAGGUAGUGACAAGAAAUAACAAUACAGGACUUUUUGGUUUUGUAAUUGGAAUGAGUUAAGUAUAAACCCCUAAACAAGUAUCAAUUGGAGGGCAAGUCUGGUGCCAGCAGCCGCGGUAAUUCCAGCUCCAAUAGCGUAUAUUAAAGUUGUUGCAGUUAAAAAGCUCGUAGUUGGAUUUCUGUUAAUAAUUUAUAUAAAAUAUUUUGAUGAAUAUUUAUAUAAUAUUAACAUAAUUCAUAUUACUAUAUAUUUUAGUAUAUGAAAUUUUACUUUGAGAAAAUUAGAGUGCUUAAAGCAGGCAUAUGCCUUGAAUACUCCAGCAUGGAAUAAUAUAAAAGAUUUUUAUCUUUUUUAUUGGUUCUAAGAUAAAAAUAAUGAUUAAUAGGG
rnacentral:rRNA from 1 species